CUGUCAUUUUCACCCCUUCAAGAGAAGCAUGUAUGUUCUCUCUUCCAGGAAAUAAUGUGUCCCAUAUCUCUGAGCACCCGCACUCCAAUCUUGAUCAUGUUCUCAAUAGAACAGAAGGCACCAAGCAAGCAAGCUACAAGUGGCAAACCAUGACUGCAGCUCUUUCUGUCCCUUAUAUCUUAUCCAGGCUACCCUUAAUCCUAGUAUCACACCCUGAAUCAACCCCAGCAUCACGUCCUUGAUCCCAGAAGCACAAACCCUAGAUCCAGCCACCUCUGAAAAGCUCCACCUAUGACUGCAUGAGGCUUUGGGGGACAUCUAGACACAGUGCCCUGCUUCAACUCUCUGGGCCUCUCCAGAGAGGCCUGGUGCACCCCACCCCACCCCGUUUAAAGGUUCUACCUUGCGCUUAUCGGCAAUCGAAUUCAGGACCUUGCACUUGCUAGGCAGACAAGGUGCCACUGAGUCACAUCCCUGGUCCAUGUUAUGGCUUAUAUCUAGAUGUCCUCUCAAAGCCUCAUGUGCUCAUAAGUGAGGCUUUUUGGACCUGGCUGGAUCUAGGGCGUGUGAUACUAGGAUUAAGAGUGUGUGGUACUAAAUUAGUCCACUGAUUGAAAUUAGCAUAGUUCUGGGGGGCACCACCCAAAAAGGUGGCACCCUGGAUGGGAUAAGAGGGAAAGGCUAGGUGGCUGCUUGCUGCUUGAGGCCUUCUGCCUGCCCACACCAUGAGCUGUUUCUGCCCUGCAAUGCUCCUCUGCCAUGCUACCUUGCUUUGGAAACAGCCAACUAUGGACUAAAACCUCAAUAAACAGUGAGCCAAAAUAAACCUUUCCCCCUUUAACUUUGGAUGUUGGGUAUUUUAUCUCAGCAAUGAGAAAAGUAAUUAAGACAGCUUUGAUGUCAUAUAUACUGAGGACAGUAUAUAUGACAGUCAUAUAUACUGUGACAGUUCCUCUGCCUCAAUGGAAAGCCUUAUCUUAUUUUCACAUCCUCAAAUAACAGGAAUCAUUUUCAAUCACAGGGAGCCUCUAUGAAAACCAGGUCUUGCUCACUACCAGCCAUGGAUGGUCUUUGUGGCCCACGAAGCCCUAACUGGUUCCUUUUUUCCCUUCUCAUCACACGCAGGUCCUCAG
rnacentral:lncRNA from 1 species